rnacentral:ncRNA from 1 species
AGAACUGUAUUUCUGAGAAGUAGAAUGAAGGAGUAACGCCUGGAAAUGCUUCCCCUAAUACUCCGAUAUGCAAGAGGUCUAACUAAGUUAAUUCAUUUUGGAUUAACUCCUCAACUGUAUAAAGCUCGGUGAAGUCGACUAAGAGCUGUCCCUAACAUGUUAUGAUGAGGAAAUGCGAACCAGAGGUGGUCGAGGCAGCGAUAGGUCGGGGGUCAA